ensembl:lncRNA
GGGUGAGGACAGACGGAGAGGCUUCAUCCUCAGCCUCCAGGAGGACCUCAGGGGGCUGUUGGAGAAUGAGGAGCAGGGGCUGGAGGAGCAGAGGGGGCUGUUGGAACAGCUGCAGGAUGCGCAGCAGAAUGGCCACUUCCUGUCGUGUAAGGUGGAGGAAAUGAGGACGGUGGUCCACAGGCUCAAGCUGAAUGAGAGCUCCAUGAUGGAGGAGGUGGAGGAACUGCAAGAGGAGAACCAGAGACUGUAAGAGGCUCAGCCACACCCUGAGACAGAUCAACCACAGCCCGGACUCUACUGACCCCCGUCUCUACCCCCAGCCCUAGCUCUGGUGCCAGCCCAGGGACUCCAGCCCCAGCCUGGCUACCGCCCUGCCAAACACCCCUGCCAUGGCUCAACCAGUCCCCUGCCACAUGGACAACACUGACCCGGUGAGUGAUGACAUUGAAGCUAAUGUGGAGUUGACUCUUAAUCAGUAGUAGAUCUUAAGUCUAAAUUGUUGAAGAGUUCGGCCUCAAGAAUGUAAAUGAGUACAAUUACAAGCAAAUUGUACAAUGGAUUAUAAUGUGGGAUUGUCAUGGGUUUAGCUGCACAGUGGAAUGUUGAUCUGAUUAACUACAGAGGAACUAAAGAGUGUGGCUGGCUUGUGUGUUUGAGACUGGGAGCCUAGGGGACUGGUGUCUUGGUCCUAGGGGCUUCCCCUCUCUCAACCUGAGAGAGGAGACUGAAGCACUGAGAGAGGCUUACUGGAGCAUGGGGGCGACGUGGACUCACUCCGGGACCACAGCUGGAGAGCACGCUCUGACACACACAGGACCAGCUGCACAGGGUGACCGAGGAGAACGCCCGUCUGAAAUGUAAACUCAGGGAGAAAUGGGGGGCCUGUGAGGCGGAGUGGGGGUGCUAGCUAGGAGGGAAAAGCAUGACAGGAAAUGCCCAGGAAAACAGGGUGCCAAUUCAUAACCUAAUUCCCCAGGUUAGCAGAAAGCUUACCACAACUCCAACCCAGAAUAAUACUACCCUAGUCUUAGCCGAUAAUGACCUAACCCUGUAUGCCUUAGCCCUGGAUGACCUAGCUCUAGCUUUGAACCAGGAGAACCAAGGCAUAGGGCAGGCGUAUCAAGGAGCUCCUGCACCACAUAGAGAGCCGGGAUAGUAAGGUUAGUGAGAGGAAGCUAGAGAGGGAGAGCUGGAGCAGGAGAACCAGGAGCAGGGAGGUCUUAUAACCGAGCUAACCAGGAAGACCAAGGAGGACCUCAACACUAUCAUGGAGCUGCAGCAGAGACUGACUGAGAGCGGUCAGCUUGGUCUACAACAGGGUGACCAUGGUUUGACCACUGAGUCAGAGUGUGGUCAAAAGGGUGAGCAUGCGGUCGGGUCAGUGUUCGCUCAACAGGGUCAACCCCCGGUAGGGUUCGUGACCAGUCUACAAGGUGAUCACACGCCAGGGUCGGUGAAUAGUGGUGAACUACAGGUUGACCACACGACCGAGUCAGUUAGGGAUCAAAAGGACAGCCAUUUGACCACAGAGUUAGUAUCCAUGCUGAGAGAGGAGAGGGGCGAGCUAAUUGGGUCUCAGUGAUCUCAAAGGGGAAAGGGAACAGGUUUCCCCUCUCACUCAGGUGUCAGACAGGGAAACACCAGCUAACGCGCUCCGUGUGGGUCCUGGAAGAAGAACGCGACCGGGUCAAUCAGGAACUCUGCGGUUUAAAAGAAGAGCAAGUACAGUUUACCAGGUCUGAAAGAUAAGAGACAAGGUGGUAUGGUCAAUGUGUGGUUUAAAAGAGGAGAGUGACCAGCUAGUUCCGUCAAGGUCUGGACUCCAGGAGGAGAGAGACCAGCUAGUUCAGUCAAUGUCUGUUUUCUACAAGGAGAGAGAACAGCUAGUUCAGUCCAAUGUCUGGUUUCCAGGAGGAGAGAGAUGAGCUCUCGCAGUCUCUCUUCAGUCAAGAAGAUGAGAGACCAACCUAACGAGUCACUCCACAAUCUAGAAGAGGAGCGAGACCAGUUGAUGCAAUCCAUGUGGGGUUUAAAGGGACAGAGAGACUAGCUAACACAGACACUCAGCCUUCUGGAGCAGAAGAGAGACAAACUGCCUUCAAACAGAAGACAGAGACCCGGUCAACCCGUUUAAAGAAGAGCGAGAGCAGUUGGUUCAGUUAAUGGUUGUUCUGUGCGAACAAAGAGAGCAUCUCACAACGGAGAGAGAGACCAGUUGCAGAUGGACGUUGCUCCUUUACGGAAUCAGCUACUGUCACAGGGGCGGAGUCACGACCAGCGGGUACUCUGAGAACCACGUUGGCGUGGCAACACACAUAGAGGGUGUGGCUACAGAGAGCGGGGUCACUGCGCCAAAAUACGGACGAUGACGUCGUUCAGAGAAGUCUGGCCACGGUCUACUCCUACAAGACCAUCCGCCUGGGGCAGUCUGCACAGGGAACACUUGGAAGAGGUGACAGUGGAACAGAGUGAACUGAUGGAGGAGAUCAAGUCGUUGGGGUCAGAACACAGAAGGUCACGAGACGAACUGGAGAAGAACCAAUCGGAGGAUCUCCCUUCCAAGACCAGACACCAGGUUUACUCCAGUCCCCCACCAGGUCAGGGAAACUAUCCAGGUUACCCCAAACCUUGCUGCCCUCAACCGACCCAAGCAUACCCCCAUAACAGCUACCCCUUCUACUACUACUACUACUGCCCCCGCUCGGACUGUUAAAGCACGAAGUACCACUACCUCGUUGAAAACUGCCCCUCCAACAAUUACCCUUAAAACUACAGCCCUCACUAAAGCUGCCCCCUCCACCUCUGCUCUGCCACCCACUGAGAGGACGUGACUGCCUGAUGAGGACCAUUGUGUCAAGAAGCUCCUCUCCAACUGCCAACCUGAACAAGCUAAAGCAACCAAACCCAGAGCUAAGCCGGAACCUCCAGCUGAGGUGGGCUCUGUUGAGGUCAUCAGGAUGGUGGGACAGAGCAGCCUCAUGAUUGGCUGGAUGAGCUGGGCUGCAGCAACGGAACCUUUAUGUAUGGAUACUGCCUCUCACCUGGGAUACAGUAGAAUGUAAAUAAAUGGGUUUUGGUGUUGUCCAUUCUAUACAGUCCAAUGUCUCCGUAUGCUGUGCUCAUCUCGCGCUCUCUCUUUCUGUCUUUCUCUCUCUUUGUCUUUCUCUCACCCUCUCUUCCUCCCCAUUUUCUCUCCCCCUCCUCUCUCUCUCUCUCUCUUUCUGUCUUUCUCUCUCUUUGUCUUUCUCUCACCCUCUCUUCCUCCCCAUUUUCUCUACCCCUCCUCUCUCUCUCUCUCUCUCUCUUUCUGUCUUUCUCUCUCUUUGUCUUUCUCUCACCCUCUCUUCCUCCCCAUUUUCUCUACCCCCCCCCUCUCUCUCUCCUCUCUUUGUCUUUCUCUCUCUUUGUCUUUCUCUCACCCUCUCUUCCUCCCCAUUUUCUCUGUCUUUCUCUCUCUUUGUCUUUCUCUCACCCUCUCUUCCUCCUAAUUUUUUCUCUCGCUCUCGCUCUCUCUCGCUCUAUAUAUACUGGACUCCGCCCACACACCGAAACAGUGGCUCCACCCAACCAGUGAGUUCUACAGACAUGCAUGUGUACUUAAUGUUUUGUACACUCAGUUUACCACCCUGGUGAGAGCAGAGGUCGGACUAGCUGGCCAAUCAGAGGCUAGAAGCAGUGCAUGCACAAGGGUGAGGAUGCAUGCCUAUCACCCGAUUGGCCAGGGCCGCAGCCUGGUGACCUCUCACAUGAGUGGGGAUAAAAGGUGAGAAUGGGUUAGAACGGGUGAGACCAAGCAACAGGUAAUCAAGUUGCAAUGUCUGUGACGUCUAGGAGGAGUAAUUCUGUACAGCAACCCUACCCUGACCCAACCAUUUCAUCUUUCAAUGUUUUACUGCAGAUUUUCAGCCGCACUGUCCAGUUGAAACCUUACUCACCAGAUUCAGAAGCUCAUCCUAAGCUUCUGUAUUAAUAUGUGUGUGUGUGUGUGUUUGUGUUUGCUUGCUUGUGACCUGUGUGUUCUCUCUGUGUAUGCAUAUGUGCAUGAUUGGCGUGCAGCUACAGUCCUCUGGUGGACAGCCCUAACCUCCACCCUAGGAGAGCUGGCCCAGAGAGGGGGAGAUACUGUCACGUUGCUAGGCAACCCCCGCAACGACGGCUUCUGUGAGGCCGAGGUGAAUGGCAGACUAGGUCUGGCUCCUGUUGCCUUCCUAGAGGAAGUUCUUGAUCCAGACAGACAUGUAAGCCCCGAAGCAACAGAUGAUAGACCACUGUGACGGCCAAUCAGAGAGAGCGCAAGAUGAUAGGUCACUGUGACUGCCAAUCAGAGAGAGGACAAGAUGAUGAGCCACUGUGACUGCCAAUCAAAUGAUGCUUCCCUACAGAGAGAUUAUAGUGGCCAACAUUCAUGACGUCAUCAAACGCUGCCUGCCUGUGACAAAAACAUUCAUAAGUGCUCACAGCCUAAAGUCGUUUGAAAUGGAAAGCUACACUAAAGCACUAGCUGAAAUGUGGGUGUGUUUGUGUGUAUGGCCCAGUUUGACAUUGUGCUUCUCCAAACGGAUGCUUUUAACCUACAUCCUGCUCAUUGAGAUCGUGUCAAAUCACCUCUGUUCUUCAAAAUCCCACGCUUUUCUGUGUCUAAUCUCUCGUGGACAGACACACUUAACUGGUAUCCUAGUGUCUGUCAGCAGACUGUGGGAUGCGACGACUAACGAGGAACUUUGUUUCCGGUGCACAGAUUUUUCGUCGCUGAUUAUUUUGGACAAAUCACGAUUUUUCCGCCUUCCUUUUUCGGGAAGAGGAGGGGACAGUUGGACCAUGGACUUGCCUGUAAAUUGCAACUGGAGAGGAGUUAACGGCCUGCGGCCCCUCCGCGUUCUAGUGUUUUUCUAACACAUCUGCCCGCAGAACGUAAUCAAGCAUCUGACACAAUUACACAAGAUUUUAGUUUUGGGUUUCCGAGAUUAUUCUGUAUGUGACAAGUGUCAAAAACGAAGGUGGGCCUGAAUGAUGUGACAACUUGUCUAACAAUCUGUCCGAAAGCCUCUCUAACAUGUUGGUGAUAUCAAGUGAUAAUUUUUUACGUGAUGAUAAAACGAAGUCGUUUUCACAAGGCCAUUUUACUUGAUCUUUAGGCAUCGAGCCAAAUAUGAAAACAAAGCUCCAUCCCAAAGACUUUGAUAUUUCUGUUCCUCGUCGUGACGUUUACAGAAAAUGUUUUUUUUUUUUUUGAUCCAAGUUAAAUCAUGAAGUCAAUUGUCUGAGCUGUUCUUCCACUGUAGAAUCGACUCAAUCUAUGAAGUCAUGCCAUUCAGAUGGAUGGAUGUUUGUGACUGAUAUAUUUUGUAGAGAUGAUUAAAUAACCUGAGGUAUGCAAAGGCUGAGUACUUUAUGUGUGGCUUUCAUCUCCUCAUUCUCUGUCUACAGGCCUAACUGACGUGUAGCUUUUACAUUCUGACCUGAUUCUCCAAAGGCUUCUCAAAUGAAACGGAGAAAAUACACACAUUCUGUUUACUGCAUACUUGUCUUUAACUGAUUAUGAUGUACGGUUGGGGGAAUGGCCAUGCUGCCACAAAUAUAUUUUAUAUAUCAUUCUGUGUUAGAUGUAAUUUGAUUUCCUAAUGAUUCCUUAGGCUGUAUAAAGAGCAUAAAUGUUGAUAGGACACAUCACAUACAAUGGUAUGUAAUUGUGUCUCGAGGAUUACACUCAUAUGCAACCUUGGUUUUACCACUAGGUGGCAGUCAUCGCAACGCCUGUCAGCCUGUUACUCUCAAUAGACAAAUACAUCCCAC